UACGUAGGGUGCAAGCGUUGUCCGGAAUUAUUGGGCGUAAAGAGCUCGUAGGCGGUCUGUUGCGUCGGCUGUGAAAACCCGGGGCUCAACCCCGGGCCUGCAGCCGAUACGGGCAGACUAGAGUUCGGCAGGGGAGACUGGAAUUCCUGGUGUAGCGGUGAAAUGCGCAGAUAUCAGGAGGAACACCGGUGGCGAAGGCGGGUCUCUGGGCCGAUACUGACGCU
rnacentral:rRNA from 1 species